AUCUAUAUAGUAUAUAAGUAUAUUUGACUUCCAAUCAUAAGGACUACUAAUAAUGUAGUAUAGAUA
rnacentral:tRNA from 1 species